UACAGAGGUCUCCAGCGUUGUUCGGAUUCAUUGGGCGUAAAGGGUGCGUAGGCGGCGCGGUAAGUCGGGUGUGAAAUCUCGGAGCUUAACUCCGAAACUGCAUUCGAUACUGGCGUGCUUGAGGACUGGAGAGGAGACUGGAAUUUACGGUGUAGCGGUGAAAUGCGUAGAUAUCGUAAGGAAGACCAGUGGCGAAGGCGGGUCUCUGGACAGUUACCGACGCUGAGGCACGAAGGCCAGGGGAGCAAACGGG
rnacentral:rRNA from 1 species